UUUCCGUAGGUGAACCUGCGGAAGGAUCAUUGUCGAAACCUGCCCACCAGAGCGACCCGCGAACUUGUAUAAACAAACGGGGGCGGGGGGCGUUCUCGCCCCGUGCCCCCGAACGGCGGGGAGACACGCGUACCUUCUUGCCGAACAACGAACCCCGGCGCGGUCUGCGCCAGGGAACUUCCACUAAAGAGUGCCUCCGGUCGCCUCGGAAACGGCGUGCGUGCCGGGGGCGAAUCUUGUCCAAAACCAUAACGACUCUCGGCAUCGGACAUCUCGGCUCUCGCCUCGAUGAAGAACGCAGC
rnacentral:misc_RNA from 1 species